AACAUCGCGCACCUGCGGGAACCUGCGGAAGGAUCAUUAUCGAGUUGCAAAACUCCCUAAACCAUUGUGAACCUACCUGUACCGUUCCUUCGGCGGGCGGCGUCAAGCCCUAACCCGGUCCCCUUUACGGGGGAUGGACCCGCCGGAGGCUCCUAAACUCUUAAUUUUAGUUGGCAUCUCUGAGUAAAUCAAAAUAAGUCAAAACUUUCAGCAACGGAUCU
rnacentral:misc_RNA from 1 species